GUGGGGAAUUUUGGACAAUGGGCGCAAGCCUGAUCCAGCAAUGCCGCGUGCAGGAAGAAGGCCUUCGGGUUGUAAACUGCUUUUGUACGGAACGAAACGGUCCGGGUUAAUACCCUGGGCUAAUGACGGUACCGUAAGAAUAAGCACCGGCUAACUACGUGCCAGCAGCCGCGGUAAUACGUAGGGUGUAAGCGUUAAUCGGAAUUACUGGGCGUAAAGCGUGCGCAGGCGGUUUUGUAAGACAGGCGUGAAAUCCCCGGGCUCAACCUGGGAAUUGCGCUUGUGACUGCAAGGCUGGAGUGCGGCAGAGGGGGAUGGAAUUCCGCGUGUAGCAGUGAAAUGCGUAGAUAUGCGGAGGAACACCGAUGGCGAAGGCAAUCCCCUGGGCCUGCACUGACGCUCAUGCACGAAAGCGUGGGGAGCAAACAGGAUUAGAAACCCUUGUAGUCC
rnacentral:rRNA from 1 species